rnacentral:rRNA from 1 species
GAGUUUGAUCCUGGCUCAGAACGUACGCUGGCGGCACGCCUAACACAUGCAAGUCGAACGCAGUAGCAAUACUGAGUGGCAAACGGGUGAGUAUAAUGUGGGAAUCUGCCUUUUGGUUUGGAAUAACACGGGGAAACUUGUGCUAAUACCAAAUAAGCCCUUACGGGGAAAGUUUCAACGCCGAAAGAUGAGCCUGCACUUGAUUAGCUAGUUGGUAAGGUAAAGGCUUACCAAGGCAACGAUCAAUAGCUGUUCUUAGAGGAAGACCAGCCACAUUGGGACUGAGACACGGCCCAGACUCCUACGGGAGGCAGCAGUGGGGAAUCUUGCACAAUGGGGGAAACCCUGAUGCAGCGAUGCCGCGUGAGUGAAGAAGGCCUUUGGGUUGUAAAACUCUUUCGUCGGGGAAGAAAAUGACUGUACCCGAAUAAGAAGGUCCGGCUAACUUCGUGCCAGCAGCCGCGGUAAUACGAAGGGACCUAGCGUAGUUCGGAAUUACUGGGCUUAAAGAGUUCGUAGGUGGUUGAAAAAGUUGGUGGUGAAAUCCCAGAGCUUAACUCUGGAACUGCCAUCAAAACUUUUCAGCUAGAGUAUGAUAGAGGAAAGUGGAAUUUCUAGUGUAGAGGUGAAAU